UUUCCAACCCCCAAUUUUCCGCAUAGCGGAGAAAAGAAACCAACAGGGAUGGCUCUAGUAACGGCGAGUGAAGCAGCAAUAGCUCAAAUUUGAAAUCUGGCGUCUUCGACGUCCGAGUUGUAAUUUGUAGAGGAUGCUUCUGAGUAACCACCGACCCUAAGUUCCUUGGAACAGGACGUCAUAGAGGGUGAGAAUCCCGUAUGCGGUCGGAAAGGUGCUCUACACGUAGCUCCUUCGACGAGUCGAGUUGUUUGGGAAUGCAGCUCUAAAUGGGAGGUAAAUUUCUUCUAAAGCUAAAUAUUGGCCAGAGACCGAUAGCGCACAAGUAGAGUGAUCGAAAGAUGAAAAGCACUUUGGAAAGAGAGUUAAAAAGCACGUGAAAUUGUUAAAAGGGAAGGGAUUGCAACCAGACUUGCUCGCGGUGUUCCGCCGGUCUUCUGACCGGUCUACUCGCCGCGUUGCAGGCCAGCAUCGUCUGGUGCCGCUGGAUAAGACUUGAGGAAUGUAGCUCCCUCGGGAGUGUUAUAGCCUCUUGUGAUGCAGCGAGCGCCGGGCGAGGUCCGCGCUUCGGCUAGGAUGCUGGCGUAAUGGUCGUAAUCCGCCCGUCUUGAAACACGGACCAAGGAGUCUAACAUCUAUGCGAGUGUUCGGGUGUCAAACCCCUACGCGUAAUGAAAGUGAACGGAGGUGAGAACCGCAAGGUGCAUCAUCGACCGAUCCUGAUGUCUUCGGAUGGAUUUGAGUAAGAGCAUAGCUGUUGGGACCCGAAAGAUGGUGAACUAUGCCUGAAUAGGGUGAAGCCAGAGGAAACUCUGGUGGAGGCUCGCAGCGGUUCUGACGUGCCAAAUCGAAUCGUUCCAAAAAA
rnacentral:rRNA from 1 species